rnacentral:rRNA from 1 species
GACGAACGCUGGCGGCGUGCUUAACACAUGCAAGUCGAACGGAAAGGCCCUGCUUUUGUGGGGUGCUCGAGUGGCGAACGGGUGAGUAACACGUGAGUAACCUGCCCUUGACUUUGGGAUAACUUCAGGAAACUGGGGCUAAUACCGGAUAGGAGCUCCUGCUGCAUGGUGGGGGUUGGAAAGUUUCGGCGGUUGGGGAUGGACUCGCGGCUUAUCAGCUUGUUGGUGGGGUAGUGGCUUACCAAGGCUUUGACGGGUAGCCGGCCUGAGAGGGUGACCGGCCACAUUGGGACUGAGAUACGGCCCAGACUCCUACGGGAGGCAGCAGUGGGGAAUAUUGCACAAUGGGCGGAAGCCUGAUGCAGCAACGCCGCGUGCGGGAUGACGGCCUUCGGGUUGUAAACCGCUUUCGCCUGUGACGAAGCGUGAGUUACGGUAAUGGGUAAAGAAGCACCGGCUAACUACGUG